UCUUAAUAACCUAUGUUUAGCUCUCUCGCACUGCUUGAGCUAACUCAAGACAAACAAUAACUAACGGGCCACAAAGUCAACAUAACUACAUUGUCAUAAUCUAACAUGGUGAAAUAAAGGUGUAGACAACAAUUAUCAUAUUUUAGUGAGUGAAUACGUCAAAGUAGACCGUUAUGCUGAAGAUGCAGACAUAAGAUAAGC
rnacentral:lncRNA from 1 species